CGUUGAAACACCGGUUCCCGUACGAUCGCCGAAGUUGAGCAACGUCGAUCCUGGUCAGUACCUAGAUGGGUAACCGCUUGGGAAUAGCAGGCG
rnacentral:rRNA from 1 species